AACUCCAAGCUGCCUCUCACUGCACUAAAAUGGCAGCCACUGAUCCAAACCUUAUAUCCUCACACUGCAAUGUCCAGGGGAAGAGAGAAUGGCUCAUUCAAGUGGCUCUUGGGUGGGUCUCGAAUUAACUGUCUCUGAACUCAUUGAUCCAAAUUGGGACACAUACCCAUCUCGACCCAAUCACAAUAACCAAGGGUUGUCGUAAAUCAAGGAAGAGUAGCUGGGCGCAGUGCCUCCCCUGUAAUCCCAGCACUUUGGGAGGUCGAUGGGGGUAGAUCAUGAGGUCAAGGGUUCAAAACCAGCCUGGCCAUAUGGUGAAGCCCCGUCUCUACUAAAAAUAUAAAAAAUUAGCCGAGUGUGGUGGCGCACGCCUGUAGUCCCAGCUACUCGGGAGGCUGAGGCAGGAGAAUCGCUUGAACCCAGGAGGCGAAGGUUGCGGUGAGCCGAGGUCACGCCACUGCACUCUAGACUGGGUGACAGUGUGAGACUCCGUCUAAAACAAAAACAACAACAACAACUCAGGGUCACUUUCAAAUCCAAUUUUUAGUCAAUAUUUUGUAUUCUUUAUUGUUAAGGUUCCCCAAAAGUCUGGAUUCAAUCCCAACGCUUUCUCACAGAGGGCAGCUUCAGGUUUCUAACAGUGGACGGAGUGAGAGAGGCUUCGGGUCAGCGGUGGUUGUGAGGCAGUUUGGGCGCAGCCCACGGCUUCAUGCCCCGCGGCGGGGGCACGUGCAGGCACCAGCUUGAAAAACUCCAUCGGGCGUGGAGCUGACCCAUUCGGGUCCGAAGCCAAACCUAGUCGGAUCAAGCAGCUGAACGCAGGCCCCGGGACCUGGUGACUGCCGUUGCGACCUCGAGAGUGCUGCGGGUGGGUGGGAAGGAGGAGUGGCUAGCUCUGGGGACGUCGGGCAGUGUUCUGAACAGCGGGAGCCAGUGCCUCAACUUCCCCAGGAUUCUUCCGCGGGAGCAGCCCACUCCCAUACUCCGCCCCGCGUGGGAGGCGAGCGCUGAGAACCAGGAGACACAGCCAGGCCAGGAGACCCCAGAGUCCAGCCAGAAGACGUGCUGAGACCCCGCUGCAGGAAGCCCUAUGGCCGCGCUGCGCUCACUCACUGAGUCCGGGUCUCCGGCAGAGAGACAGGGGCAGCCCCGCGGGAGGGGCGGGCGCGGGGCCAGAGCGGGGCCUGGCCACGUCCGGGAGGAUGAACGGAGCCCCGCUAAGGUCGGGAGGACUUCGAGGAGCUCCAGCGCUCUGUUCCCCUUGGUGUCGCCCGAGGCUGAUGGAGGGUGGUGAGACCGUGGCUUGGAGACGACGUGCUGGGGAGCAAGGCGCCGUGACCAGGAGACCAGGGGCAGGGCCUGCGAGGAAGCGGAGGCAGAGGAGGUUCUAGCGUGGCAGCAGCAACAUGGGGCAGGGCAAGAUGGGGAGCCUGGGCAGCGAUGUACCUUGACUUUGUGGAAGCGCAGCCUUUGGGUGAGCCGGAUCAGCUCUUCAGUCUGCUUCAUGCGCCCCACCUCAGCGCUGCAACGCUCGAUGAUCUAGACCAGAGAUUUCUGAGUCUCCUUGUCAGCCGUCUCACGUAGCAACCAUUGUCUGGAACGCCCUAUUUGUGUGUCAAGGAAGCUCAACGUGAUGGACUGCAAACUCUCACACCUCCCACCAGCACCUGCAGCCCCUUAUCUCCCCUGCUGUGGUCAUCAGCACCACCACACCCCCAUUCGCCCAAGCUAAAAACCACACUAGUAAAUGUUUGUUGAAUAAAUGAAUGGACACAGAUAACUUCUGAUAACAAUGGUGAAUCUAAGAUAAUUAACAAUCCUGGAUAGCAUAGAAGAGAUGGUCAUGAUUGCCAAAUAGAUUUUCGGACAAUAAUUGCAAUAGAAGCUCAAGGUGAGGGAAGGGAGUUAAAAUGGUGCACUCACUUACUCUGGACCCGGCUCUUCACAAUAUCAUAUCCCCACGAUUCCAUGAGGUGGUUCCUAUGCUUAGCCCCAUUUCACAGAUGAGGACACUGAGACCCAGGAAGG
rnacentral:lncRNA from 10 species